CCGGGCCCUUAAAGCCUCCGCAGGCCGAGCGAGCCCGGCUCCGACCCGCCGGGGCCACCAUGGGCUCGCUGGGGCGAUGCCUGGCCCGGAGCGUCCCGCGGGGGCAGCCGGGCCUGAGCCCCCCCGGGCCCCGCUGCUACGGCUCCGCCCCCCCGGCGCUGCAGGAGCAGACGCUGCUGGUGGCCAAGCCGGACGCGCUGCGGCGGCGGCCCCCCCCCCCCCCCCCCCCCCCCCCCCCCCCCCCCCCCCCCCCCCCCCCCCCCCCCCCCCCCCCCCCCCCCCCCCCCCCCCCCCCCCCCC
rnacentral:lncRNA from 12 species